rnacentral:rRNA from 1 species
AUUGAACGCUGGCGGCAUGCUUUACACAUGCAAGUCGAACGGUAACAGGUCUUCGGAUGCUGCCGAGUGGCGAACGGGUGAGUAAUACAUCGGAACGUGCCUAGUAGUGGGGGAUAACUACUCGAAAGAGUAGCUAAUACCGCAUGAGAUCUACGGAUGAAAGCAGGGGACCUUCGGGCCUUGUGCUACUAGAGCGGCUGAUGGCAGAUUAGGUAGUUGGUGGGGUAAAGGCUUACCAAGCCUGCGAUCUGUAGCUGGUCUGAGAGGACGACCAGCCACACUGGGACUGAGACACGGCCCAGACUCCUACGGGAGGCAGCAGUGGGGAAUUUUGGACAAUGGGCGAAAGCCUGAUCCAGCAAUGCCGCGUGCAUGAUGAAGGCCCUCGGGUUGUAAACUGCUUUUGUACGGAACGAAAAGCCUGGGGCUAAUAUCCCCGGGUCAUGACGGUACCGUAAGAAUAAGCACCGGCUAACUACGUG